rnacentral:rRNA from 1 species
AAUGAAUGUAAAUAUGAUAUAUAGGUAUUAGUAGUUAUGAUCUUUAAACUUAAAGAAUUUGGCGGUGUUUUAUUCUAUUCAGAGGAAUCUGUUUUGUAAUUGAUAGUACACGAUUUGGAAUACUUAAUUUGAUUUUGUAUAUCGCCGUCAUUAGAUUAUUUUGAUUAAAAGUUAGGAAUUUUCGAAAUAUUAGUUUGGUAAUAUGUCAGGUCAAGGUGCAGUUUAAUUAAGAAGUUAAAUGGAUUACAAUAAAAAUUUAUUUAAAUGACGGAUUUGUUUAGGGUUAAAAGAAUGAAGGUGGAUUUGAAAGUAAAUUGGUUGAUAAUGAGUAAUUGAAGAAGCUCUAAAAUGUGU